rnacentral:tRNA from 1 species
GCGCCCAUAGCUCAACUGGAUAUACUUGACUACGAAUCAAGAGGUUAUAGGUUCGACCCCUAUUGGGCGCA